GAAAGCUGUCGCUAAAGGAUGGACCCGCGGUGCAUUAGCUAGUUGGUAAGGUAAUGGCUUACCAAGGCGACGAUGCAUAGCCGAGUUGAGAGACUGAUCGGCCACAUUGGGACUGAGACACGGCCCAAACUCCUACGGGAGGCAGCAGUAGGGAAUCUUCCACAAUGGGCGAAAGCCUGAUGGAGCAACGCCGCGUGAGUGAAGAAGGUUUUCGGAUCGUAAAGCUCUGUUGUUGGUGAAGAAGGAUAGAGGUAGUAACUGGCCCCUAUUUGACGGUAAUCAACCAGAAAGUCACGGCUAACUACGUGCCAGCAGCCGCGGUAAUACGUAGGUGGCAAGCGUUGUCCGGAUUUAUUGGGCGUAAAGCGAGCGCAGGCGGAAAGAUAAGUCUGAUGUGAAAGCCCCCGGCUUAACCGAGGAAUUGCAUCGGAAACUGUGUUUCUUGAGUGCAGAAGAGGAGAGUGGAACUCCAUGUGUAGCGGUGGAAUGCGUAGAUAUAUGGAAGAACACCAGUGGCGAAGGCGGCUCUCUGGUCUGUAACUGACGCUGAGGCUCGAAAGCAUGGGUAGCGAACAGGAUUAGAUACCCUGGUAGUCCAUGCCGUAAACGAUGAGUGCUAAGUGUUGGGAGGUUUCCGCCUCUCA
rnacentral:rRNA from 1 species